CGUGAUGCCCGCGGCGGCGAGGACCGAGCACCGUGGACAGCUGUCGCAGUGCGCACAGGCGGAGAGCGGGCACAUGGUACACAGGGGCGGACGCCACAGGCUUUGCAAGCGCGCCCCCGCCUGGGGCUAUAAAAGCCGCGCCACCUGCUGCCACCAGCCAAGCAGUGCGUCCAGUUGCCUGAGAAGCCAGUUUCCCCUCUCCAGUGGCUGCCUGUCUCGACAUGGACCCGGAGACCUGCCCCUGUCCUGCUGGCGGUUCCUGCACCUGCGCUGAUUCCUGCAAGUGCAAGGGCUGCAGAUGCACGGACUGCAAGCAGAGCUGCUGCUCCUGCUGCCCUGCGGACUGUGAGAAGUGUGCCAAGGACUGUGUGUGCACGGGUGUGAAGGGGGGCAAGGCGGAGGAGGAGAAGUGCAGCUGCUGCCAGUGAGGAUGCGGCCCUCCUUGGGGAGCCUGUGUCAAUAGUGCUGGGUGGCCCAGCGCCACCUCUGCCCAUGGUGGGGUGUGGCUUUGCCCCUCUGCUGCCUGCUGAUGAGUGACAAUAAAUCCCAUGAGCAGAAUGAA